GAUGAACGCUGGCGGCGUGCCUAAUACAUGCCAGUCGAGCGAACAGAUGAGGAGCUUGCUCCUCUGACGUUAGCGGCGGACGGGUGAGUAACACGUGGAUAACCUACCUAUAAGACUGGGAUAACUUCGGGAAACCGGAGCUAAUACCGGAUAAUAUAUUGAACCGCAUGGUUCAAUAGUGAAAGACGGUUUUGCUGUCACUUAUAGAUGGAUCCGCGCCGCAUUAGCUAGUUGGUAAGGUAACGGCUUACCAAGGCGACGAUGCGUAGCCGAACUGAGAGGGUGAUCGGCCACACUGGAACUGAGACACGGUCCAGACUCCUACGGGAGGCAGCAGUAGGGAAUCUUCCGCAAUGGGCGAAAGCCUGACGGAGCAACGCCGCGUGAGUGAUGAAGGUCUUCGGAUCGUAAAACUCUGUUAUUAGGGAAGAACAAAUGUGUAAGUAACUAUGCACGUCUUGACGGUACCUAAUCAGAAAGCCACGGCUAACUACGUG
rnacentral:rRNA from 1 species